rnacentral:rRNA from 1 species
AGUGGACGCUGGCGGUAGGCCUAACACAUGCAAGUCGAACGGCAGCACAGUAAGAGCUUGCUCUUACGGGUGGCGAGUGGCGGACGGGUGAGGAAUACAUCGGAAUCUACUUUUUCGUGGGGGAUAACGUAGGGAAACUUACGCUAAUACCGCAUACGACCUACGGGUGAAAGCAGGGGAUCUUCGGACCUUGCGCGAUUGAAUGAGCCGAUGUCGGAUUAGCUAGUUGGCGGGGUAAAGGCCCACCAAGGCGACGAUCCGUAGCUGGUCUGAGAGGAUGAUCAGCCACACUGGAACUGAGACACGGUCCAGACUCCUACGGGAGGCAGCAGUGGGGUAUAUUGGACAAUGGGCGCAAGCCUGAUCCAGCCAUACCGCGUGGGUGAAGAAGGCCUUCGGGUUGUAAAGCCCUUUUGUUGGGAAAGAAAAGCAGCAGGUUAAUACCCCGCUGUUCUGACGGUACCCAAAGAAUAAGCACCGGCUAACUUCGUG